rnacentral:pre_miRNA from 1 species
UUUGUAUUGCCUUCGUCUGGAAAUAUUUAUUGGAGAAAUGGAUGUAUCUAGAUGUAUUUCAGUUCUAGAUACAUCCAUUUUUAUCCAUAUCUUGGACAAGUAUUUUGGGAUGGAGGGAGUAUUAU